CUACUGGGAGGUGUCCCCCAGUUAGGCUACUCGGGGGUCAGGGACCCACUUGAGGAGCCAGUCUGUCCGUUCUCAGUUCUCAAACUCCCUACUGGGAGAACCACUACUUUCUUCAAAGCUGUCAGACAGGGACAUUUAAGUCUGCACAAGUUUCUGCUGCCUUUUGUUCAGCUAUGCCCUGCCCCCAGAGGUGGAGUCUACAGAGGCAGGCAGGCCUCCUUGAGCUGUGGUGGGCUCCAUACAGUUUGAGCUUCCCAGCCUCUUUAUUUACCUACUCAAGCCUCAGCAAUGGCAGACGCCCAUCCCCCAGCCCUGCUGCCACCUUGCAGUUCGAUCUCAGACUGCUGUGCUAGCAGUGAGCGAGGCUCCGUGGGCCUGGGACCCUCCAAGCCAGGCAUGGGAUAUAAUCUCUUGGUGUGCCGUUUGCUAAGGCCGUUGGAAAAGCACAGUAUUAGGGUGGGAAUGAUCCGAUUUUCCAGGUACCGUCUGUCACGGCUUCCCUUUGCUAGGAAAGGGAAUUCCCCAACCCCUUGUGCUUCCCGGGUGAGGCGAUGCCCCACCCUGCUCCGUGGGCUGCACCUACUGUCUGACAAGCCCCAGUGAGAUGAACCCGGUACCUCAGUUGGAAAUGCAGAAAUCACUCAUCUUCUGCGUCACUCAUGCUGGGAGCUGCAGACUGGAGCUGUCCCUAUUCAGCCAUCUUGGAACUCGGGUCUUCUUUUCUUAAAUAUGAAGGCCUCCAUGUACAUAUCGAAUGCAUACUUAUAUCUGGAGUCCUGGAGCAUUUUGCAGUUCCAGAAAGUAAGAAAAUGCACUUUCUCUCUCUGUCUCUCUCUCUCUCUCUCACACACACACACACACACACACACACACACACACACACACACACACACUGAUGGGGGGUAUGUCAAAGGAAUGCAGGAGCCAACUAAAAGAGCUGCCAAUGGUCAAAGCUAGAACCAUUUGAGUAAUAAAAUAAAGAAGUAUUGGAUUGUAACACAAAGUAUAAAAUAAAUAUCCAUUAGUCCUUACUGAUAUAAAUAAGUGAUUAAAUAAAUAAAUUGGGAAAAAGAGAAAAUUUUCCCAUGCUGAAGAAUUUCAGAUAAUUUAUGUAGUUACUCCACCCUCAAGGAGGGGUGCACAACUCUCCAAUCCUUAGGUUUUGGCUGUGCCUAGUGACUUCCUUCCAAAGAGUGUGGUAUGAAGAGAGGUGGUGGGGAGAGUAAUUUUACAGAGCAGAAACCUCCCAAACACCACAGCCAGGUGAUGAACAAGGCCAACAUCAACAGUAGUAAGUCAUGGGGAUAGCAGUUACUCUUGAUAUGAUGGGAAGAAAAUGGCACUUCACCUCUGUGGUCUUCCUCCCAAUAACUCAUAACCCGAGUAUUUUCUAUGAGGAAAGACGUCAGACAAAUUCCAAUACUAGGCAACCUAUAAAAUACUUGGCCUGUACUCCUCAAAACUAACAAGGUCAUCAAAAAUAAAGUGUGAGAAAUUGCCACAUUUAAAAAGACAUGACAACUUAAUGUAAAGUGGUAUCUGAGAUGGAAUCUUGGAACAGAGAAAGGGCAUUGAAUAAAAGCUAAGAAUCUCUAAAUAAACUAUGCCAUUUUAAAAAUAAUGAUGUGUCAAUAUUGGCUUAUUAAUCAUAACACAUGUAUCAUACUAAUGUAAAGUGUCAACGAUGGGGAAACUGAAUGGAAGGUAUCUGGGAACUUUCUGUACUGUCUCCUCAGUUGUUUCUGUAAAUCUAAAACUGUUCUAAAAAAUAAAGUUUGUUAAAAAGAAAAUAUCCAAAUUCUUGUGAAUAUUCUUGAUCUCUUUUCUACU
rnacentral:lncRNA from 10 species